rnacentral:tRNA from 1 species
GUACAUAUACGUACUUACCCCAUA